rnacentral:rRNA from 1 species
UACGUAGGGUGCAAGCGUUGUCCGGAAUUAUUGGGCGUAAAGAGCUCGUAGGCGGUCUGUCGCGUCGGAUGUGAAAAUCCAGGGCUCAACCCUGGACCUGCAUUCGAUACGGGCAGACUAGAGUUUGGCAGGGGAGACUGGAAUUCCUGGUGUAGCGGUGAAAUGCGCAGAUAUCAGGAGGAACACCGGUGGCGAAGGCGGGUCUCUGGGCCGAUACUGACGCUGAGGAGCGAAAGCGUGGGGAGCGAACAGG